rnacentral:lncRNA from 1 species
GAUCCGACUGUCCGAACACAAUCCCCUCCCUCUCUCAGACCCCCCAAUUCUCUCUAACCUAAACCCUAAUUAAUCAGUCGCCCCCAUAUUCUUUUAUCAAAGCUCGCCGCGGCGAGGACAUCAGUUACACCAACAACCACCAAAAUUACACCCUAACACCGCCUCUGUAUCCUCAUUUCAAAUCUACCCUUCUUUUCCUUCGAAUCAACCUCAAAGGUAUUGAUUCUUGAUUCGAAGUUGAUGAACCCUAGGCGCCGCCCUCGAAUCCUAGUGGCGGCGGCGCCUCUUUUUCACACCAAAUUAAUACCAGAUGAUUGUCGUCCUUCCCCCAUCAGUAAUACCUACCCAUAAAUCCUUCGAAUCCAAGUAAAAGGCCUCGAAUGUCAGAUCUAGGGUUGGGGAGUCGAAGCUAUACAAAGGUAGAAUGUUUUUCGUAGUAAGUUUCUAAUAGAUCAUGCUUCUGUUACAAUUCUAGAUUUUAUUUGUAUUUUUGAUUUGUUUCAAUGUUUGGUUCUAUUUAGUUAGUCUAAUUCGAAUCAAUUCUUCAUUUUAAUUUCAAUUUUUAGUUCUAAAUGUGGAAAUUGUCUUUUUCGAGUUGGUUUCUGUAAGUCUUUGUAGUAAUUUUGUUUCAUUUUUCAAUCUUGGUUUGGGAAUGUUAGAUUUUAGUUUAAAUGUGGUUGCAAGUUUGUUUUGAACUUUGUUGGAUUUUGUUUGGAUUGAAUUAGUAUUUGGAGAGUUUGAUUUGUGGGUAUAAUUGUUCUCUAAUUCAGUUGUUUUUAGUAAUAAGGUUUGGAUGAUUGGAUUUAGCUGAAUAUUUUAGUUUUUGAUCAACCAUAAUAAAUUUGUAGCUAAGAUAAAAGGGAAAAAGGGGUUUGGUAGGUGUAGUAAUUUAGAGCUAGUGAGGGAUAAUUUGGGCAUUGGAAGUGGCUCAAUUUGUUAAGGGUGGUAAGUUUAUAACUCAAGUAAGGGUAGUAUAGGUAUUUAAAGGGGUUAUGAACAUGAUAGAUAAAAAUAAAACCUUCUUGGACAUUCUAAAUAGGACUUCAGUAUGCAUUUGGAGAAGUUUGAGGCACUGACUUGUGUAACAAGUGUAAAAAUAAGGGACUAAACUGAAACGAAAGAGGGGCUGAAGAAAAAAUAGAAAAUCUGAAGUUCCCUCAAUCUACACCUAUAUAAAGGGCAUGCACAUGCCUUGUGACAAAAAGUUUUCAGCCAUCAAAGUUACCCCACCCCCCAUAAAAGCAUUCUUUCAUUUCCAGAUCUGAAAACUAGAAUUCAAAACCUAAAAACCAAAAAAUCAAAAACAGAAGAAAAAUCAAAACAAAUUUACUGUUCCAGUGAAAUUAGAGACUGACUUCAGUUUCUGGUUGUUGAUUCACAUUCUGUAGUUGCUAUAGUUGCUUGUUGAAGUGUAGAGGUUCAUUUCAAAUGCAAUUGAAUCAAAUUAAGUGGGAAUUCGGCUGAAUUAUUUUGGUGAUUUCGAGUUGAAGUUAGUAUUCUGAAUCUAGUUUAGGUGUUUUUUUAGAUGUCUAUGCAUUGGUGUUUAUUUCUGGGUUGAUUUGCUGUUGUGUGGAGUAGAAUUGUUAGUUUUCUGCUUGAUUUGAACACCUCUAGACUACUUGAUCUUGUUACGGGGAUAUUUGUGAUUUAUCCCUGAUUGAUGUUGACCUCCUCUUCUCCUUCAUUAAUUUCCACUUACAGGUACCUCCCUUGAUCUCAUGUAUGCUGUGACAGAUCCUUGUAACUCAAUUUGAAGGAUAAAUAAAGUGAAGAGUGGCUUGAAGUGGGUUGUCAAAUUCAUUUUAAUACGUUUUAGUUUUAAUGUGUUAGAAAAAUCAUGUUUAAUUGAUAAUUAGUGUUUUGUAAUAAGUGGACUGUGUGACUAUUAUUUCCAAUUCAUGUUAUGAACUGAACUAGUUUCAGUAGUUCAAUAAUUGUGCCAAGUUGAAUAGAAAUGUGUUAGUAAGUUAGGUGAGUUCUCAAAAUGUUAAUGGUCAGUGUUAGUUUUAAUGACAGCUUUUAAUCCUUGAUUUGUUUUCAAUAAUUGUAAAUAAACAAACUCAAACAGUUCUAUGUUUCGUAUAAUAUUACAUAUUCCCACUUGUUUAAAAUACUGCACUAUGUGAGUACCUGUUUAGUAACAUUAGUUGAAUAGUGAACUGUUUGAUUUGAUUAUGUGAAUAGUUAACUCGUAGGUAGUAGGCAAAAUCAUAUGACUUCAAUUUGUGCUCCUAGUCUAUUUUCGCCAUUAAUAAUUUGAUUAGUGCUUGUUUUCUUAUGAACUGUUUAAAUGCAUUAAAGUAAUUUGAAAUAAGUGCAGCCAAUUUGUUUUACUUGUUGUUGGGCUCCAAGCGACAGGUCUGCCGAGCAUGGUUUUCUGAGACGUUUGGCUUUAGUUGGAAAAACUCCUAGUCUAUCCAGCCAAGGGAAUCGACCCCAAGACUUCUUCCAUGCGGUCUGCAAUUUAGUUGUCAUGGGUCACACAGUUUGGGCUGUUUGGGGCCUGAAACUCAAAUGGGAAUUGGGCUUUUCACAAGCCUGGUUUAUUGGGCCAGCAGUCACGAAAUAAAUUCAUAAGA